UGACCCUCCGCCUCCUGGGCU
rnacentral:misc_RNA from 1 species